GUUUGAGCAUCCCUUCACAAUUUACCCAGAUCGUCUGUCAUCUUUACCAGCUAAAGCGGGGAAAAUGGACCUUUGACCAUUAGAAGCAGGAAACAUCUGCACCUUCCCCACUUUCAAUCCAAAUCCACGCUCGUGUUUUCAUAUGUUUUAUUAAACCGUGAGCCCUCAGAGGAUGAGGUUUUGCAGACUGGAGUUAGGCUGUUAUAUGAGCUAUUCAGGAUGUUAUUUGCAUCGACUGGAUAAAAGCCUGUGGCAGCUGAGCGUGCUGCAGAAGCGAGAGACUGACCGCCUGCAUCAGCCACCAGCCCAAGGAAUAACAUUAGUUCCAGCUUCACAAUGAGUUGUUUACUGGCCUUGGCUGCCUGUGGGAACAGCCAAGAAGAGCGGAGGAAAAGGAGAGACAAACACAAUGCGAGUGAGACACGUUAGGUGGGAGGCUGGGCUUUAAAAGCAGACUCGGAAUUUCAAACCUAUGGAACUGGAGAGGGCUGAAAAAGAAAUAAAAGGGCACCGGCUGCUCCACAGCAUAAACAAGCUGAGGCAAAUAGCCAUCCGCUUCGUUACUCCUGCUGCCGGAAGAUCCUCCUCCCUAGCUGAAGGGCUGAUAUUAAAGUACUUGGAAGACGGGGGAUGUCGCUACAAUAAAAGGCAAAUGGGAGCAAACCCUGUCAGCUACUCUGCUGAACUCCAUAACUCUGAGAAUAACAGGGUUACAUGAGUAAGCGACAGCUGCUGCAGGUUGGCUUGUACCUUCCCCACUACAAGAGAGAAUAUUCUCACCAUUACCACUUUAAACAGGCUGUGUAUUCUGUUGUGGUACCACUUCUGACAUGGCAAGAUACCUUCCUCCCCUCAUAUACUGCCCCCCAUUUUAGAGUUAGGUUCUGGCCUGCCUGAAAUGCAGAACAGUAAAGCAAUUUUCUUUAUAUUCACUUAAACUCAGCAUUUUAAAAUGUAUUGCUAGAUUUUUUUUCUCCCCCCAGCAAGGCAACAGCAGUGGUGAAUGUGGCGUGCAUGAAGAGCAUCCUACUGCUUUAAUCCUUAGUGAAAAGGAAAGAAAGUGACUUUUACGUUCAGAAAACUAAAUCUGUAGAUUCAUGCUGCAGAAUUUAAAGCACAUGGCUGAGUUUCAAAGCAGCUUGGCAGCCUGUUUAAACACCUCAGUGUUAGAUAGGUAAACAACACAGGCUGAUAUUUUAAAGACCAUAACUUAGCUAGACAAUUGCUGGCAGGCAAUUCCUAUAGACUUAUACACCAGAAAAACUGGUAUUUGACCUUGUGGCUGUCUGCGGCAGAGC
rnacentral:lncRNA from 1 species